GCAAUUCUGCUGCCUCAGCCUCCAGAGUAGCUGGGACUACAGAUUGGUUUCUGAUACUAAAUUGGCCUCUAGAGUUGGGCAGAAAGACUCAUCGCUACAGGUUGUCUACAUGCCUCAGUCAUUGCCCUUCUAUGUGUGUAGUUACUUGUAAAUAGUAAUAUCAGAAAAUAUGCACUUUCAAAUAGAAUCACAUUUUAUCUAGCUUUUAGCAUAACCAAAGAUUACAUUAAUAAAUGAGCUAAAUAUUAGUCACAUUUUGCUACCUAGAGAUGGCUAGUUAAUUCAUUAAUUAACUUAAACAGUUAAUAAAUACCUGUUAGAUGGCAGAGAUCAGUUCCCUGUUCUCAAAGAAGGAAACUACAGACACUGGGUUCUCCUUGAGGGUGGAGGGUGGAAGGAGGGAGAGGAGCAGAAAAGAUCAGUGUUGGGCACUGGGUUUCAUACCUGGGUGAUGAAAUAAUCUGUACAUCAAGCCCCCCAUGACAUGAGUUUACCUGUGUAACAAACCUUCAUAUGUACCUCCUAACCUAAAAUAAAGGCUUUUUUAAAAAA
rnacentral:lncRNA from 1 species